UAAAUAUUUCUAAUCUGUUGAUCAAAAAUACCUUCUAAAACCUGAGCAGUACAUAGCUAAUAACUGUUGAAAUCUUGAAACUUGUCCCAUAAAUCGGCAACGGAAAUGUUUAAUCUUUCAAGGAAUAUAUUACUACUGAACGAUAUAAAUCAUAAGUAGAACAAGCUGAAUCGAUAAUCAGCGGUGACGGUGUUCCUAAAUCGUUGUUUACAAGCGCCUGUAGGGAAAGGAAACCGGAGAGAGGCAUGGAAAGAUGCGGAAGAUCGCUGACCGGAGCGGACGUGAUAUUUCAAUUCGAUCUCGACGGGAACCUUGACCGAGAGUAACGGUACAAUAACGAUCAUUACGAGAUCGUAGAUAGAUGAGGCGCUUUUAAACGACCCUGGUUGGGUUCUGCAUAGAUCAGCGAACGAUUCGAAAGCCGAUGAAAACGGUUCCAGUCGGUUUCAUCUACGCCAGCAAACAACCGAUACCUUGUAGCUCGUGAUCUUCGGUUCGAUGAUCCCAGUCUUUCAGUAGACCUUGAGUAUCCAGACGUGGCGGAUCGAAUGAAACGAAUGGCAAUAAAUCAUCACUCAUGCAGCCUCUUAAAUCCCAAACGCUGUGAACUAUUCAUGAAUCGUCCCCGAAGAGGCAUUUAAAAUACCAAUGCCCCAUUAUCAAAUCUUCCUCCAUCCUCUCUAACACGAAACUUCCUAAAUCGCCCAUUCAAUUGACGAGGCAAAUAUACGAAACAGCCGGCAAUCUCCGGCGGUUGAACAGAGUAAACAGAAUCUCUCGUGACGACUUCCGUGUCUUCGUAGCACCUCCAUAUCGCGUUGGAGGUGCUUCUCGUCUUCGUCGAAGUCAUCUCUCGAGACUCAGAAAAAAAAAAUCAGCAGUUCGUUGAACCUGACGGCGCUUCUCGAAACGACUCUUUUAUUUUUUUCCUCGUCCGACGAAAAAGAAUUUCAGCAGAAAAAGAAAGAAAAGGAGAAGCUUCGAGCCUAGAACGAUAUACGCGAGCGUGCCACGUU